UUCGAUUCGGUGUGACAAGGCCCGGGAACGUAUUCACCGCGGCGUGCUGAUCCGCGAUUACUAGCGAUUCCAACUUCAUGGAGUCGAGUUGCAGACUCCAAUCCGAACUGAGAGCGGCUUUUUGGGAUUGGCUCCCCCUCGCGGGUUUGCGACCCUUUGUACCGCCCAUUGUAGCACGUGUGUGGCCCUGGACAUAAGGGCCAUGAUGACUUGACGUCGUCCCCACCUUCCUCCGGCUUAACGCCGGCAGUCCCCCUAGAGUGCCCAACUGAAUGGUGGCAACUAAGGACGAGGGUUGUGCUCGUUGCGGGACUUAACCCAACACCUCACGGCACGAGCUGACGACAGCCAUGCAGCACCUGAACCGGCGGUCCCCGAAGGGAAAAUCCUAUUUCUAGGACGGUCCGCCGUUGUCUAGCCCAGGUAAGGUUCUUCGCGUUAAUCACUA
rnacentral:rRNA from 1 species